UCUUUCUGUUUUCGGACUUAGCCUCUCUGGCUGCCCCAUCGCUGCAGCAAGCAAACAGAAGGGAUCGCCGAACGACAAGAAAGGAUCUCCUCCGAAAAAGAUUCGACGAGAGGUUUCGACGUCGGAAUGUGACGAGGUGGCGACAGACGACGACAAUGACUGGAUCCGAUCACAUUUUAUCCCAUGGACGGACCGCGUCUUGCGGCCAAUGUGCUACAUCAAGCAGCUAGAGCUGGACUACGCUGCCGCGAGCGCCGGCGCGGCCGGUUACCACGACAACGGCAACGGCGGCUACCUUCCGCAGGCGACGCCGCGCACAAACCUCGCUCGGGAGCUGGAGAA